AGGGUGGGAGAGGGGAGUUCACCAACUAGAUAGUAUCGAAGAAUUAUCUUAGGUGGAGGGAAGGAAAACACAGAAUACAGGGGAAGUCAGCACCACUGGACUAAGCCAAAAGCUAAGAAACUUCCUGAUUACAACCAAACACUUUGAGGGACAGAAUGGCAGGACCAUGGUUUCAGGGGACAUCUAGGUCAACUGGCAUAACAAAGUUUAUUAAGAAAAUGUCCUGCAUCCCAUUUAGUGAGUGGUGUCUGGGGUCUUAAAAGCUAGCAAACGGCCAUCCAAGAUGCAUCAAUUGAUCCCAAGGAGAAUGAAGAACACCAAAAACACAUGGAAAUUAGCCCAAGAGACAAAAGGGACCUCAUAAACCAGAGACUCCAUCAACCUGGGACCAGAAGAAUUAGAUGGUGCCCAGCUACCACCAAUGACCACCAUGACAGGGAACACAACAGAGAGUCCCUGAUGGAGCAGGAGAAAAGUAGGGUGCAGAACUCAAAUUCUAGUAAAAAGACCAGACUUAAUGGUCUAACUGAGACUAGAGAAACCCCAGAAGACAUAGCCGCAGACUCUCUGUUAACCCAGAACUAAAACCAUUCCCGAAGCGAACUCUUUAGACAAAGAAUAGACUGGACUAUAAGACAUAAAAUAAUACUCCUGAAGAGUGUUCUUAGUUCAAGUAGAUACACAAGACUAAAUGGGCAGCUCCUGUCUAGAGGUGAGUUGAGAAGGCAGAAACGGACAGGAGCUGGUUGAAUGCACACAGGAAACCUGGGGUGGAAAGCAGGAAUGUGCGGUCACAUUAUUGGGACAGCAGCUAGGGUCACGUAACAAUGUGUAUAUAAAUUUUUCUAUGAGAAACUAACUUGAGCUGUAAACUUUCAUCUAAAUAAAGCACAAUAAAAAAAAUUGACUAUCACAAUGGAAAACUUGCUUUUCUUAGAAACCAAACCAAACCCGUUGCCAUCAAGUCAAAUCUGACUCAUAGCGACCCUAUAGGACAGAGUAGAACUACGCCACAGGGUUUCCAGGGAGCACCUGGUGAAUUGGAACUGCCGACCUUUUGGUUAGCAGCUGAACUCAACUACUAUGACACCAGGCUUUCCUUAGACAAAUGCUUAAUAUAUGGGGAGGAGGAAGGGUACAGCCAGAGGGGAAAAAUUUUUGAGAAAUGAUUUCUAAAAAUGAAUUAAGGGUAAUCCAACCAGACAUUUCUGGGAGCUGCCACAUUGCGCAACUCCAGGGGGUGACUUCUCACUGCAGUCUAUGUAAAUGGCACCCCCUAGAGUCAUGCCAUGCACAGCCAGCUAGGCCAUGUUAUGUGUAUCGUGGUGAUUCGGACUCAUAGCAACCCUAUAGGACAGAGUGGGACUGCCCCAUAGGGUUUCCUAGGCUGUAAUCUUUACAGGAGCAGAACGCCAGGUCUUUUCUCCCUGGAGCUGAUGGUGGGUUUGAACCACCCACCUUCAGGGCAGCAAUCAUUUAUGACAGUUGCCUGAAUAUCCAUUUGGGAAUUAUAGCAUGUCCACACUUGGCUAAUUCAUGCACCCUAAUUCAAACUGUCUCUCUCAGCUUUAAUAAGGUGGCCUCUCGGAUUCUGGAAAUUUUCUCUAGCAAGAGUCUUCAACAGUUUUGCGAAGAGGAAUGACUUUUUUGGGGGAGAAGAAGGUGAGGGUAGGAACAAGGGAUUAAGGUGACAGGGGAAUUUGGGAAGAUGCUGGAAGUAAAGCCUACUAAGAAAGAUUUCAAGAUCAGAGUGCAACUUCUAACUUAUGUUGUUGUUAGGUGCUGUCGAGUCGGCUCUGACCCUUUGUGACCCUAUGUAUAACAGAAUGAAAUUGUUUGGUCCUGUACCAUCCUCACAGUAGUAUGUACAUUUGAGCCCAUCACUGGAGCCACUAUGUCAAUCCAUCUCCGUUGAAGGUCUUCUUUUUCGCUGACCCUCUGUUUUACCAGGCAUGAUGUCGUGCUUAUUAGGUUAUGUUAUCAGGAGGGACCCAUGCCUAGAGAAGAGCAUCGUGCUUGGUUGGAUUCUGAAUGAAACAAAUCUGAUACAACCAAGUGUUGGGGAGAGGGUGCAAAAGUUGACUAUCAUACACUGCCGGCAAGAUGCACCUUGGUAUUUCUGAAAGUCUAUUUCGUGGCAUGUGUCCAAAGUCUAAAGUAUAUGCACAUCAAAAAUACAUAAAGCAGGUUAUAAAACUAUGUAUAGAAUGACUGUACCAAAAAUACCAAUGAAUACAGGAAAAACAGACUCAUGUAAAUGAUGGCUUUCUGGAUAGUGAGGUUAUGAGUGAUUUUUUUUUCCCUGACUCUCUCCUUUUACUUUUCUAGUUUUUAAAAGCACUUAUUCAUUCAACAAACAUUGAUGGAGCACCUGCCAUGUGCUGGGGGUAGUUCCAGGUGCAGAGGUUACCAAACUAAAAACAAAACCUGUUGCCAUUAACUAGGUUCUGACUCAACCGCAACCCCAUAUGUUACAGAGUAGAAUUGAGCUCUGUAGGGUUUUCUUGAAAACCCUGGUGGUGUAGUGGUUAAGAGCUAUGGCUGCUAACCAAAAGGUCGACAGUUCAAAUCCACCAGGUGCUCCUUGGAAACUCUAUGGGGCAGUUCUUCUCUGUCCUAUAGGGUUGCUAUGAGUUGGAAUUGACUAGACAGCAACAGGUUUGGUUUUUUACAUUAUUUUGUAGGGUUUCCUUGGCUGUAAUCUUUAUAGAAGCAUAUCACUAGGGCUUUCUUCCGUGGGGCCACUGGGUCAGUUUGAACUGCCAACCUUUCCUUGAGUAGUCGAAUGCAGACCAUUUGCACCACCCAGGGACCUACAGGGGAUACAGCAGCAAACCAAACAGUAUUUAUUACCUGAUCUAAUGGGAUUUACAUUCUGAUUGUGGUGGGGCGGGGAGGAGGGGGGAGGAAAUAAAGUAAAUAAAUAAAACAUGGUGAUACGGAGUGAUAUGGAGAAAAAUAAAGUAGGGGAGGGGAUAAAUAUUGAGUAAAUGGUGAUUUUUAAAAAGUGUCAAGAAGAGUCUCAGAGAAAGCUGAUAUUUAAGCAAAGACCAGAAGGAGAGAAGAGGGUGAGCCAUUUAGGUUUCUGUGGAGAGUUUUUCAUGCAGAACGAGUUACAAGUGCCAAGGCCUCAAGGGGCAGCAGAUCUGGUCUUCCGGAGGACAGAGCAAGUUGUGUUUGCAAUGUCAAUAGGCAAGUAACAGGGUUGGAGGUUUAAAAAUACAACGACCUGAUUAUCUGAGAUCCUGAAGGUCUUUUCAAGAACUUUGCUUGUAUUUUUGAAUGAGAUGGAUAAACACUGUAUGAUUUUGAGCAGAAUUAUCUGACACACUCUUCAAUAGUAUCACUCUGGCUGUGCUGGGAACAGUCUAGGGGAACAAGGGUGGAAGCAAAAAGAUCAUGUCAUGAGGCAGUUUCAAUAAGCUAGGUAAAAUAUGAUGGUAUUUCAAAUCAGAGUGAUAGUGAGAGUGGCAUGGUACCAGAUAUCUUCUGAAAGCAUAGCCAAUGAGAUUUGCUGAAGGUUUCGAUAGGUACUGUGAGAGAGAAAGGAAAGAUCGAAGAAGAUUCCAAGAUUUGUGGCCAAGUUGGAGUUGCCAUUGACUGAUUGUGAAGUCUGUAGGAGGAGCAGUUUGAGAAAGGGGAAAGAUCAGGGGUUCGGUUUAUUACAUGUUAUGUUGGCAAUGCCAAGAAGCAGUUGGGUCUGGAGUACAGGGGAGCUAGAGGCUGAGGAGUUACAUUUGGGAGUUUGUCAACAUAUCUAUGAUGUUAAAGCCAAGAGACUGGAUGAGAUCAACAACAGACUGAUUUUAAACAAUGAGAAAAUUGUAUGCUGUGCCCUCUGAACCACUGUCAAGUUAAGACCACAGAGAUAAGAAGGAACCAGCAAGCGACACUGGAAGGAAAAAGUAAAGGAGAAGGAGAACCAUGAGCUUGUGGUAUUCUGCAGCCUACUGAAAAAAUUUUUUCAAAGAAGGAUUGACUAGCUGUGUCAAAUGUUGCUAAUUAAUUAUGUAAGAUGAAACUGAAUGUUGUCCAUUGGACAUAGUAACCUGGAGGUCACUGGUGACCUUGACAAGAAGAAAGAAUGUGAGGAAUGGACUAUGAAUGAAGACAACUCUUUCUAGGAGUUUUGUUGCAAAGGGAAGAAGAGAAAUACAUCUGUGGCUGGGAAAGGAAAUGGAGCCAAGGGAAGGGGCCUGUUUAUUUGUUCUUAAAGAUGGGAAAAAUAGAGAGUUGUUUGUUUACUGAGGUGAAUGAUCCACAGGAUGAGAGGAAAAAUUGAUAACGCAGGAGAGAGAAAAGAGACUUGCUGGAGCAGUGUCCUUGGUUAGGCAAGGAGCACCAGGACUCAAUGUCCAAAUGGAAGCCAGUUCUUCUGCUGCAACAGAAAGGAAGGCAGGGCUUACGGCCACUGAGACUGGGAGAUGGAUAGAAGUGGUGGUGGGGGUUUUGGAAAUGAUCUUCUGGUGGCAUUUAUUUUCUCAAUGAAAUAGGAAGCAGGGCCAUUAGCUGAGACUGGGAAGUCCGAAAAAGUGGAAGGGUGAGUCAAGUAGGGAAAUGUGACACUAUUACAGGGAAGUACUGAGAAAACGAACAGGUAGUACUUAAGAACAAGGAAAUAAGCUAGGAAGGAAACUUAAAUUUUCAUGAACUUUCACUUGGCAACAUCACCACCAAUUCAGUGGAAUUUUUCUUAAGGAAAUGAUUAAGGAAUUAUGCCAGGAUGUUUACCAGCAGGACUGCUUGUAAGAGCAAUAAGUUAGAAGCAAUCUAAAAGCCUCAAAAAAGGAGACUGGUUAUAUUUAACCAAUUUAUAUAUUUAGCUGAUUUAUUAAUUGGUACAGCCAUUCAAAAGUAUACAGUGUAUACACUGAUACAGAGAGCUAUUGAUAAUACAUUUAGAAAAAUAAGAAAAAUCCCAUAUUUGUAAAAAAUUAUUUAUUUUAAUAUGUAUGUGUUUAAAAUUGGUAACCCUUGCCAGUUUAGGUUAUGGAUUGCCCAUUCUUUUUAUUGACUGUAUUUUCUAUAAAAAGCAGAAUGAGAAAUUUGUAGUGAGAAAAUAACAAGAAAAGCCUGCUCAGUGUUUCUGUGCUGUAUGGCUCCUUUAGGUUUUUUGUGAGUGUGCCAAGUUGUCCUAUAGCCUGCUCUGAGCUUCCUUAAUGCUGAAGCAAACCACUGAUGAUGCCACUGAGUGGCUACAUCUCUACCUACAAUUCCCACCAGCCACACCACUAUCACUAGAUACAACCGCAACUAAAACGAAUGAGGAUUGGAGCAAAAGCAACUGUCAUGGAUUGAAUUAUGUUCCCCCAAAAAUGUGUGUAUCAAGUUAGGCCAUGAUUCCCAGAAUUCUGUGGUUGUCUUCCAUUUUGUGAUUGUAAUUUUAUGUUAAAGAGGAUUAGGAUGGGGCUGUAACACCCUUAUCGAGUCACAUGCCUGCUCCAAUGUAAAGGGAGUUUCCCUGGGGUGUGGCCUGCACCAUUUUUUCUCUCUUAAGAGAUAAAAAGGAAAGGGAAGCAAGCAGAGAGUUGGGGACCUCAAACCACCAAGAAAGAAGCACCCAGAGCCAAGCGCAUCCUUUGGACCCAGGGUUCCUGCACAGAGAAGCUCCUAGUACAGGGGAACACUGAUGAGAAGGCUGACAAAGAAUGCCUUUCCCUUGGAGCCGACGCCCUGAAUUUGGAUUUUGAGCUGACUUUUUUUUUUUUUUUUUUUACUCUGAGGAAAUAAAUUUCUCUUUGUUAAAGCCAUCCUCUUGUGUUAUUUCUGUUAUAGCAGCACUAGAUAACUAAGACAGCAACUCUCAUACUUGGAAUGGUGGCAUUUAUCCUCAAGCUUAUUCUUUUAAAUACACCUGCCUGACACUGACCAGGAGAUCAAAGUGAACAUUGCUAAUAACGGGACAAAUUGACAUUAUCUGUCUUCUGAUAUGACACACUGAAAGGAACACAGCACCACUUCGGUGAUAUUGCUGGCAAAAUGCAUAAACUACUCAUGAGGAACUAUCACACAAACCCAAACUGAGGGAAAUUCUACGAAAUAAAUUAUGUGAAAUUUUCAAAAAUAUUAUGGUCAGCAAAGACAAGGAAAAGCUGAAGAAUCAUUCUAGAUUUGAAGAGACUAAAGAGACAUGAAAAGUAAAUAUAACACAUGAUUCUGGAUUGGAUCUUGAAACAGAAGGAAAAAACAUUUUUUUCUGUACAUAUUGGAAAAGGUAAAAUUUGGAUGAGAUGAGUAGAUUAGAUGGUGCUACUGUAUCAAUGUCAAUUUUCUGCAUUUGAUGGCUGAACUGUGGUUACGUAGGAGGGUGCAAUUCUCUUUUAGGAAAUACACACUGACAUUUGUACGGGUAUUGGGGCAUCAAGUCUGCAGAUUACUCUCAAGUGAUUCAUGAAAAAAUUAUAUAUAUAUAUAUGUAAAGAGAGAGAGAAUGAUAAAGCAAAUGUGGCAGCUGUUAACAUUUGGAAAGCCUGGGUAAAUGGUAUAUGGAAGUUCUUUGCAUUAUUCUUUCAAUUUCUCUAAGUUUGAGAUUAUUUCAAAAGAAAAGCUAAAGAAAAAAAUGAAAGAUUAUCUUAAACCAAGAGCCACUAGGUUACUUACCAUUACCAUUAAAAUGAGGAGGUUCACUACCGCCAUAAAACAAAUUGAAAAAAAAUAUUAUGUAAUUUUCCUGGGAUCCUUCAGACCUGCUAAAUAAGAAUAUUGGGGAGCUCGGAGAAGCUCCAGAGGUGACACUCAGAAGGGAAAAUUGAAGAAAGAAAACCUUGAGCUUGUGAUGGUCUGUAGAUGGGAAAAUUUUGCAUAGAUAGGGUUUUUUGUUUUUGUUUUUUCCCCCUGUAACUCCUUACUCCUAUCACUGCCUCUAGCAGCCAGGUGACUAUGACGCACAGCCACUGCGGCCAAGCACCCUGUAAGCAAGUCCUCUCGGUUCUAGGAUCUCCGGGGUAGGUCUGAGAAGGAGGAAAUUCUGCUUCCUGGCCUGGCCUUUAGGGCAACUCACAUCCAAGCUACUUCACUUAAAAAAAAAAAAAAAAAACUUUACUAAGGUGUAAAUAUCUGAUAAUGACUUAGCUCAGCUUCCCAAACUAUGUUCCUCCAAACACUAAUGCCACUAGGAGUUGUUCCCUGAAAACAAAACAAACAAAAAACCCAUCUAGUUCUUGGAUCAAAUAAGUCUGUAUAAUGCUGCACAUUGUAGCUCUUUCCUAGAAAUUUAUAAUAUACAUUAGUUUAUAAAUAUACAUUAGUUUAUAAAGUAAUCUGGUUAAUUUUGCUUAAUUCGGUGCUUCACAAAUGUUUUUGGCCACGGAACACUUUCCCCUUACACUUAACACCUAUCACAUACUUGUGUUCUCCAUGUUUACUUACGAAGGCCGUGUGUACCGUUAAGGAUGCUGCAGGAAAACAUCCAAGGUAGAUGGGUCUCAGGCAUGGUUCAGUCAGGGCCUGUCUCAGGUCAUUCACUUUUCUCACAGUUCUACCUUCUGGUGUGUGUCAGCUUUACUCUCAGGACCGCUUACCUCGUGAGAUUUCAAGAUGCUAUGAGCAGCAACUAGGUUUGGUGCUUCUUUCUUCACAGCCAGAGAUAAAAUGUAUUGCACCCACUCUGGCUGGUUUACUCCUAAGCCAAAUCACUGAAUCAAGGAAAAUGGGAUUGCCCUGUUAUCUUUAACCCACGGGGGCGCACCCUGGUGUUGGGAGGGGCCCCAUUCAUACACUGGCAGCUACACAAUGGGAAAGGGGUGGAAUGGUUGUUGGGGAGGCAAUAGAGAUGUCUGUCAACUGUGGAAUUUAAGCUCGCAGAGAAAUGGGGCAUUGUGCCUUGUGCAAUUAGGCCUCAAAAUCACCAGCUCCUCUGGCUCCGAAGGUAGUUCUAAGUCUCAGGUUGGUCUGUCUUUGGGUGAGGGGCAAGCCCCCUGAAUGUAGUCCCCUCCUCUCCCGUGGAGACUGGAGGAGAGUAGAGGGCAGAGACAGAGGUGCAGCACUGAGGAAAUAAGAAUAUCAGUGUAUCAAGUUGCCUUUUCUUUUUUUAAAAUUCCUAUGCUUUCCCACAGGUGGAUUUUGCUUUCUUUAUACCUACCCAGACUUUCCUGCAGGCCCUGGUUACUGUUCACCUUCUCUCGGGACACUUCUGAAAAGAAUAUUGAACAAAGAUUUCUUGCCAGUUCUCUCAUCAGAGGUUAAAUUCCAAAGGUUAUUUUUUUAAGCCUUUAUCUUAACCUUUUGCCUCAUAAUUUUGAAGUAAAACCCUUCCUGGGAUGCGCCCUCACAAAGUGCUAAGAACUGAAAAAAGUGUCAUUAUUAUACUUGCAGUAAUCUCCAAACAACAUCAGCCAAUUCAAGUAUUUGUAAAUAAUUUUGCCUAGGAUGGUUUUGUUGUUACCAAGAAACUACUAUGCUAGGUCAAUACCGAGGCUUCAGUUAGAUCUAAUGCACACAAUAAACAAAAAUAAAUAAAAGUCAAACUUUCCUCUUUUCCUUUGAAAUAGUUAAUGUUGCAAAAACAGUGCAUUCAUGUGGCUACACUGGCUUUGAAGGUGAGCCAUGAUUCAUUCAUGGCCGAAAGUAGGUGAGCGGUGGCUCCCGGAGCUCAGCCCUGCCCCCUGUAGGAAGUCUCAGUCAGUGACCUGUGCCUGUUUCAGCGUCCAAUUAGGGUUAUCUCUUUCUCCUUCCUUAUCUUCCUCUCUUCCCUUCCUUUUCCUUCCUUUCCUUCCCUCAAAACACUGCCGCAGAGGAAAAGACCUAAGAAACUAUUGAAAAUUUAUAUAACGUCUUACCCCAACUACUCUCUUGUCCUCCUUGAAAUCAUCAGCUGCUUGUUAGGUUACUGUCUAAUUCAUUUAAUAAAUUACUAUGUGAUGAGGUGUCUUAUCACACACAUGUGUAUACGUUCAUGUGCACACACACACACACACACACACACACAAAUUUUUAAUGAGGUCAUCAACACCUCAAUGCAAAAUAGUGAUAAGAACUGAGAAUCUUAGAUCCUCCUCCACCACCAAGUGUUUCCUGCUUUUUUUAUUCAACCAUGGAGGUUGAAUAGGGUUUGAAAUUCUUUAGGGUUACUUUGGGAUAGAGUAAACCAUUAAAACCAUGUCUUGGGCAACAGACAUGAACAGACACUUCACCAGAGAAGACAUUCAGGAGGCUAACAAACACAUGAAGAGAUGCUAGUAAUCAAUAGCCAUUAGAAAGAUACAAAUAAAAACUACAAUGAGAUGCCACCUCACACAGGCAAUAAUGGCACUGAUCAAAAAAGGUAAAAAAAACCAGAGAACAACAAAUGCUGGUCAGGUUAUAGGGAGAUUGGAACUCUCAUACACCGCUGGUGGGAAUGGGAAUGUAAAAUGGUUACAACCACUGUGGAAAAUGGUAUGGCGCUUUCUUAAAAAGCUAGAAAUAGAAAUACUAUGUUGUUGUUAGGUGCUGUCAAGUUCAUUCUGACUCACAGGGACCCUAUGUACAACAGAAUGAAACACUGCCUGGUCCUUUGCCAUCCUCACCAUAGUUGUGAUGCUUUAGCCCAUUGUUGCAGCCACUGUGUCAAUCCAUCUCUUGAAGGUCUUCCUCUUUUUCACUGACCCUGUACUUUACCAAACAUGAUGUCCUUCUCCAGGUAUUGGUCCCUCCUGAUAACAUGUCCAAAGUACCUGAGCCAAAGUCUCGCCACCCUUCAUUCUAAGGAGCUUUCUGGCUGUACUUCUUCCAAGACAGAUUUGUUUGUUCUUUUGGUAGUCCGUGGUAUAUUCAACAUUCUUCUAGAUCACCAUAAUUCAAAGCCAUCAGUUCUUCUUUAAUCUUCCUUAUUCAUUGUCUGGCUUUCACGUGCAUAUAAAGUGAUCGAAAACACCACAGCUUAUAUGGUCACUAUGAGCCAGAAUCGAUUCAACAGCAAAGACAGUUUGGUUUUUGGUUUGGGUCAGGCACACCUUAGACCUUAAAGUGUCAUCUUUGCUUUUUAACACUUUAAAAAGGUCUUUUACAGCAGAUUUGCCCAGUGCAAUGCGUCACUUGAUUUUUUGGCUGCUGCUUCCAUGGGCUUUCAUUGUGGAUCCAAGGAAUACUAUAUGGCCCAGCAAUCCCACUGCUAAGUAUAUAUCCUAGAGAAAUAAGAGCCGUGACAUAACUACACAUAUGCACACCCAUGUUCAUUACAGCAUUACUCACAAUAGCAAAGAGAUGGAAACAACCUAAAUGCCCAUCAACAAAUGAAUGGAUAAACAAAUUGUGGUACAUACACACAAUGGAAUACUACGCAAUGAUAAGAAUAAUGAUGAAUCCACGAAACAUCUCACAACAUGGAUGAAUGAGGAGGACAUUAUGCUGGGUGAAAUAAGUCAGCCACAAAAGGACAAAUACUGUAUGAGAUCACUAUUAUAAAAAAUCAAGAAAAGUUUACACAUAGAAAGAAACAUCCUUUGAUGGUCACCAGGGAUGGGACGGACACAGAGAAUCACUGAUUAGAUAAUAGACACGUAUUAAUUUUGGUGAAGGGGAAGACAGUGCACAAUAUGGGGAAAGUCAGCACAAACUGGAUUCAUUUUCUGAGAUUCAUGCUUUGUAUAUUCCGUUUUCGGAUUGCUAAUGCCUGGACAAAUUGAAGAGGAAUGGUGCCACAUUCAUCCUCAAAAAGAUCACUGCAAAAUCCAUCCUGAAGUAAAACUCUGCCAGUGAUAGGAUAAUAUCCAUACGCCUUUUUUUUUUUAGAAGGAAGA